UAAGAUGUUCGUUAAGGGUGCCCCCGAGGGGGUGAUCGACCGCUGCAACUACGUGAGGGUGGGGACGACGCGCGUCCCACUGACGCCGGCGGUGAAGGAGAAGAUCCUGGCGGUCAUCAAAGAGUGGGGGACGGGGAGGGACACCCUGCGCUGCCUGGCUUUGGCCACCCGGGACACCCCCCCAAAGAAGGAGGACAUGAUGCUGGAGGACUCCACCAAAUUCGCCGAGUAUGAGACCGACCUGACCUUCGUGGGUUGCGUUGGGAUGUUGGACCCACCCCGUAAAGAAGUGAUGGGUUCCAUCCGCCUUUGCCGAGACGCCGGGAUUCGGGUCAUUAUGAUCACGGGGGAUAACAAAGGGACGGCCAUCGCCAUCUGCCGUCGCAUCGGGAUCUUCACGGAGGACGAAGAGGUUUCGGGGAGGGCGUACACGGGGAGGGAAUUCGACGACCUCCCCCCAGCCGAGCAGAGGGAGGCUUGCCGUCGGGCCUGUUGCUUCGCCCGGGUCGAACCGACCCACAAGUCCAAGAUCGUCGAGUUCCUGCAGUCCUUCGACGAGAUCACCGCCAUGACGGGCGACGGGGUGAACGACGCCCCGGCCCUAAAGAAGGCCGAGAUCGGUAUCGCUAUGGGUUCCGGCACCGCCGUGGCCAAAACAGCCUCGGAAAUGGUGUUGGCCGACGAUAACUUCUCCACCAUCGUGGCGGCGGUGGAAGAGGGCCGCGCCAUCUACAACAACAUGAAGCAGUUCAUCCGAUACCUCAUCUCCUCCAACGUCGGCGAGGUGGUCUGCAUCUUCCUGACGGCGGCCCUGGGGCUGCCGGAGGCUCUGAUCCCGGUUCAGCUGCUGUGGGUCAAUCUGGUGACGGACGGCCUCCCGGCCACGGCUUUGGGGUUCAACCCCCCCGAUUUGGAUAUUAUGGACAAACCCCCCCGCAGCCCCAAAGAGCCCCUCAUCAGCGGGUGGCUCUUCUUCCGCUAUCUGGCCAUAGGAGGGUACGUCGGGGCGGCCACGGUGGGCGCAGCCGCGUGGUGGUUCCUUUACGCUGAGGACGGCCCCAGUCUGACCUACCACCAACUGACGCACUUCAUGCAGUGCACGCACCACAACGCUGAGUUCGAGGGGGUCGACUGCGACAUCUUCGAGUCCCCCGUGCCCAUGACCAUGGCGCUGUCCGUCCUCGUCACCAUCGAGAUGUGCAACGCCCUCAACAGCCUAUCGGAGAACCAAUCGCUGCUGCGGAUGCCGCCGUGGGUGAACAUUUGGCUCGUGGGCUCCAUCUGCCUCUCCAUGUCGCUGCACUUCGUCAUCCUCUACGUCGACCCCCUGCCCAUGAUCUUUAAGCUGACCCACCUGGACCUGGCCCAUUGGUUGGUGGUGCUGCGCAUUUCCUUCCCCGUUAUCCUAUUGGAUGAGGCGCUGAAAUUCGUCGCCCGGAAUUACCUGGAGGCGUAACUCCGCCUCCCUCCGCGCCGGGACAUCAGCCGACGCUGAGGACCUCCGGAAGAAGCGGAAGUGACCCCACAGCCCCCCGCUAUGGGGCAGCCCCACACCCCG
rnacentral:misc_RNA from 1 species